rnacentral:rRNA from 1 species
GUCGAGCGGACAGAUGGGAGCUUGCUCCCUGAUGUUAGCGGCGGACGGGUGAGUAACACGUGGGUAACCUGCCUGUAAGACUGGGAUAACUCCGGGAAACCGGGGCUAAUACCGGAUGGUUGUUUGGAACACAUGGUUCAAACAUAAAAGGUGGCUUCGGCUACCACUUACAGAUGGACCCGCGGCGCAUUAGCUAGUUGGUGAGGUAACGGCUCACCAAGGCAACGAUGCGUAGCCGACCUGAGAGGGUGAUCGGCCACACUGGGACUGAAACACGGCCCAAACUCCUACGGGAGGCAGCAGUAGGGAAUCUUCCGCAAUGGACGAAAGUCUGACGGAGCAACGCCGCGUGAGUGAUGAAGGUUUUCGGAUCGUAAAGCUCUGUUGUUAGGAAAGAACAAGUACCGUUCGAAUAGGGCGGCACCUUGACGGUACCUAACCAGAAAGCCACGGCUAACUACGUGCCAGCAGCCGCGGUAAUACGUAGGUGGCAAGCGUUGUCCGGAAUUAUUGGGCGUAAAGGGCUCGCAGGCGGUUUCUUAAGUCUGAUGUGAAACCCCCCCGGCUCAACCGGGGAGGGUCAUUGGAAACUGGGGAACUUGAGUGCAGAAGAGGAGAGUGGAAUUUCACGUGUAGCGGUGAAAUGCGUAGAGAUGUGGAGGAACACCAGUGGCGAAGGCGACUCUCUGGUCUGUAACUGACGCUGAGGAGCGAAAGCGUGGGGAGCGAACAGGAUUAGAUACCCUGGUAGUCCACGCCGUAAACGAUGAGUGCUAAGUGUUAGGGCGGUUUCCGCCCCUUAAGUGCUGCAGCUAACGCAUUAAGCACUCCGCCUGGGGAGUAACGGUCGCAAGACUUGAAACUCAAAGGAAUUGACGGGGGCCCGCACAAGCGGUGGAGCAUGUGGUUUAAUUUGAAGCAACUCGAAGAACCUUACCAGGGAUCUUGACAUCCUUUGACAAUUCUAGAGAUAGGAACGUUCCCUUCGGGGGCAGAGUGACAGGUGGUGCAUGGUUGUUGUCAGCUCGUUGUCGUGAGAUGUUGGGUUAAGUCCCGCAACGAGCGCAACCCUUGAUUUUAGUUGCCAGCAUUCAGUUGGGCCACUUUAAGGUGACUGCCGGUGACAAACCGGAGGAAGGUGGGGAUGACGUCAAAUCAUCAUGCCCCUUAUGACCUGGGCUACACACGUGCUACAAUGGACAGAACAAAGGGCAGCGAAACCGCGAGGUUAAGCCAAUUCCACAAAUCUGUUUUCAGUUCGGAUCGCAGUUUGCAACUUGACUGCGUGAAGCUGGAAUCGCUAGUAAUCGCGGAUCAGCAUGCCGCGGUGAAUACGUUCCCGGGCCUUGUACACCCCGCCCGUCACCCCCCGAGAGUUUGUAACCCCCGAAGUCGGUGAGGUAACCUUUAG